AUACAGAGGGUGCAAGCGUUAAUGGGAAUUACUGGGCGUAAAGCGCACGUAGGUGGUUCAUUAAGUCAGAUGUGAAAGCCCCGGGCUCAACCUGGGAACUGCAUUUGAAACUGGUGAGCUAGAGUAUGGUAGAGGUAAGUGGAAUUCCAGGUGUAGCGGUGAAAUGCGUAGAUAUCUGGAGGAACAUCAGUGGCGAAGGCGACUUACUGGACCAAUACUGACACUGAGGUGCGAAAGCGUGGGGAGCAAACAGGAUUAGAAACCCCUGUAGUCC
rnacentral:rRNA from 1 species